GUGCCGGCCGACACUGCGG
rnacentral:misc_RNA from 1 species